rnacentral:rRNA from 1 species
CCUACGGGUGGCAGCAGUGGGGGAUAUUGCACAAUGGGGGAAACCCUGAUGCAGCGACGCCGCGUGGGUGAAGAAGCGCCUCGGCGCGUAAAGCCCUGUCAGCAGGGAAGAAAAUGACGGUACCUGAAGAAGAAGCCCCGGCUAACUACGUGCCAGCAGCCGCGGUAAUACGGAGGGGGCAAGCGUUAUCCGGAUUUACUGGGUGUAAGGGGGGCGCAGGCGGCGAUGCAAGCCAGGAGUGAAAGCCCGGGGCCCAACCCGGGGACUGCUCGUGGAACUGCGUGGCUGGAGUGCAGGAGGGGCAGGCGGAAUUCCUGGUGUGGCGGUGAAAGGCGUAGAUAUCAGGAGGAAAACCGGUGGCGAGGGCGGCCUGCUGGACUGCAACUGACGUUGAGGCCCGAAAGCGUGGGGAGCAAACAGGAUUAGAUACCCCUGUAGUC